GACGUAGGGUGCGAGCGUUGUCCGGAUUUAUUGGGCGUAAAGAGCUCGUAGGCGGCCUGUCGCGUCAGCUGUGAAAACCCGCGGCUUAACCGUGGGCUUGCAGCUGAUACGGGCAGGCUAGAGUUCGGUAGGGGAGACUGGAAUUCCUGGUGUAGCGGUGAAAUGCGCAGAUAUCAGGAGGAACACCAAUGGCGAAGGCAGCUCGCUGGGACGUAACUGACGCUGAGACGCGAAAGCGUGGGUAGCAAACAGG
rnacentral:rRNA from 1 species